rnacentral:rRNA from 1 species
GACCCGUCUUGAAACACGGACCAAGGAGUCUAACAUGUGUGCAAGUAUUAGGGUGUGGAAACCCAAAUGCGCAAUGAAAGUAAAGGGUAGCGAAAGUUACCUGAGGUAGGAAAGCUUUGUUUACAAGGCUGGCACUAUCGACCGAUCAUGAACCUUCGUGGUGAAAGAUUUGAGUAUGAGCACAUAUGUUGGUACCCGAAAGAUGGUGAACUAUGCCUGAAUAGGGUGAAGCCAGGGGAAACUCUGGUGGAAGCUCGUAGCGAUUCUGACGUGCAAAUCGAUCGUCAAAUUUAGGUAUAGGGGCGAAAGACUAAUCGAACCAUCUAGUAGCUGGUUCCCUCCGAAAUUUCCCUCAGGAUAGCAGCAACUUGUCACAGUUUUAUGAGGUAAAGCGAAUGAUUAGAGGCUUCGGGUGAGAAACUCACGCGACCUAUUCUCAAACUUUAAAUCUGUAAGACCUGCAGGUUUCUUAAUUGAACUUGCGGAUGUGAAUGUUGAGUUGCUAGUGGGCCAUACUGGGUAAGCUAGUCUGGCGAUGCGGGAUGAACCGAACGUGACGUUAAAGUGCCAAAAUGCUCGCUCACCUAGAUACCAUAAAAGGUGUUGGUUCAUAUAGACAGCAGGACGGUGGCCAUGGAAGUCGGAAUCCGCUAAGGAGUGUGU